GCCUGGUGCAGGAGCUGCUCCCAUGAUGCCUGGCUCACCGAUGAUGAGACCACAGUUUCCCGCACAAGGAGCCCCUGGACAACCGAUGUCUCCAGGAAUGGCCCAGAGUCCCAGGAAGCCUCCCCCUCCUAAAGACCCUCUCGCUGACCUCAAUAUCAAAGACUUCAUGUAGAUGAGCAGCUGGUUUGUCACACUUAUUGUGCAGCCCUGAUGAAUCAGACGUGUGUAUUCUCUCUUCCAUUCAUCACAUUCAGGGACUCCAGUCCCUC